rnacentral:misc_RNA from 1 species
GGAGAAAUUUCUUUUCUUUCUUGUUUGUUAUUACCGGUUAUCCUUGCUUUGAAGUUGACGCUAAUUUCUGUUUGUUGGGAGCUUUGGUUCCCUUUUGAACCUUCCAUUUCUUACAUAAACUCUCAUUUUGCGGGGGUCCAUCCAGCUCCUGGGCGCUGCUGGUUAAGGGUUUUUGGAGGCCUUUUUCCUUGGUUUGUUUUUUGGGUUUUGUAAUUCCAAAGUGUUUUUGUGUAAAUGUGGAGCACUGGAGAACCUGCUGAUUCUUACUACGCUGUCCGGCCUGAGUGCACGGAUGUUGCGAAAAGCCGAUUCAAAAUCAGGGCUGGUAAAACAUUAAGUGCAAGAAAAUGGCAGACUGCUUUUUCUCCAGAAGGGCAUCUAGAUAUAGGCAAGACUCUAAGUCGAAUCCAGCGUGGGGGGAUCCAUCCAUCGAUUAGAGGAGAAGUUUGGGAAAUUUUACUCAGUUGUUAUGAUCCAAAGAGUACAUUUGACGAACGAGAACAGAUACGCCAGCGUAGAAGGACACAAUAUGCUAGGUGGAAGGAAGAGUGCUGUGAAAUAUUUCCUGUCGUUGGAAGUGGCCGGUUUAUUACAGCAGCUGUUAUCACUGAAGAUGGUCAGCCCAUUCAGCAUCCAUUAGUAAUUUUAGAGACAAAUCAAGACAAAGGCUCAGCUUUACCUUCUGAAGAUGGUAAUUCUGCUGAUUCAUCAGAUGCAGAAGCCAUUGCUACUACUUCAGAAAUUAUCAAAAAGCUCAUUAAUCGCGGUCCUUUGGACAAGAAAGUAAUCCAGUGGUUGCUUACUUUACAUCAAAUAGGUCUAGAUGUAGUUCGAACUGACAGGACAUUGGUUUUCUAUGAGAAGCAAGAAAACUUGUCAAAACUUUGGGAUAUUCUUGCUGUUUAUGCCUGGAUUGAUACAGAUGUUGGCUACUGUCAAGGGAUGAGUGACCUUUGUUCCCCCAUGAUAAUGCUUCUUGAAGAUGAAGCAGAUGCAUUUUGGUGCUUUGAACGUCUGAUGCGUAGAUUGCGAGGAAAUUUCAGAUGCACUGACAGCUCUGUUGGGGUGGAGACACAACUUAGUAGUUUAGCUGCAAUUACUCAAGUUAUUGAUCCAAAACUACAUCAGCAUUUAGGUAUUCCCUUGGAUUACAACUUUUUCCAUUCUGUAUUUUUAAGUCAGCCUCUAUGUUAUAUGCAGAUUAAUGAUUGAUUGCUAGAUUGUCUCAGUUUGAGCUAGUGCAUUAUAUUGGUUUGUCAUUUUGAACUUUUUGCUUUUUAUCAAAAGAAGAUAUAGGUUAUCCAAUAGAAGGGGAAAAAAAAGGAACUAUUAUUUACCUUAGAGUUUCAAUUGUAGAUGAUGAAAAAGCCUGACUAUCACCAUAUGUUGGGUUUGUUGCACAAGACAGAAAGAGAAUAAAAAAGGGGCGGCAUCCCCAGUACACAAAGCUUGCCAGUUUGUAGGCAAUAAGGGAGAGAGUAACAGGAUAAAAUUUCCAUAAAUUAGUUUUCUGUGGAGUGUGAUUGCUUCUCUUAAGCUUAAGGUGGCUUAUUGGGUUGCUCUCAGAUUAUAUGCAAAUUGAGAAUUCUGGGUUUUAGGGUAAAGUGGGAGACAUUUCUGUGUUACGGUAAGUUUAAUCCAUUAAAUCCCGGACAAAUUGAAUAUCUUGGAAGCAAUUUUUUAUCCUAUUAUAUGUGUAAGAAAGGAAAAAAUUGUUAGAAAAUUCCCUAAUAUUUUUUUGAAUUUAGAGAAUGUGAUACAAACGAGGAAAAGGUGGAAUUACAGCCUAUCUCUAGGUGUCCAUUUGAACAUGUUUUUUUGUCUUUGUCAAAGUGCAGUUCCAUUUUGAUAUCCAAUAACCAACUUACGUGGCUUUCUCUGUUAGGUGGCAGUUCCUCAGCAAUGAUUCCUUAGCAUUUGACAAUAAUUUCAGAUAUCCUGUGAUUUCAUAUUUUGCAUCACUUGUCAUGUGAUACUUAUUCAUGUUUACCUUCUGUAUUUCUCGAUUUGUUCUCAAAAAUAAAAUAACAAGAAAUCUAUCUUUUGAUCUUGUACCACAGAUGCACUUGGUGGAGGUGAUUAUUUAUUUGCCUUUAGGAUGCUUAUGGUUUUAUUCCGCCGAGAAUUCUCUUUUUGUGACUCACUCUACCUCUGGGAGGUACAAUAAUCGUACUUCUCUAAAACCCUUAUGAUCAAGUACUUUCUGGAUUAACUGAAAUAAACAAAACUUAAAUUCUAAUUUCAUAGAUGUUGUGCUUACUCCUUGGAAUAGUUCCUAAAGUUGAUGAAAUGCGUGCAUAUUCCAUAGAAGACUAUGUAUUAAUCUCAAUCUUGCUGUUCAGCUCCAAGCUGCGGAUUUUAUUCAUGUCAUUUGAAUGAAUGACUUUGAAGGCUAAAUUUUAGUUUCUUGCAGAAAUCUGUCUGGCCAACUUUCUGUUCUGAAUAUGGGUUCUGGACUUCAAAAUUUGCACGAGCCUGUUAAUAGGUUGACACGUCCCCAUCUUUCCUAAUUGAUUCCAAGUGGAAUUCAUAGAUGAGCACAAUGCUUACUCAAGAACUGAAAGCAAAGGCCUAUCUUGAAUAGGGUUAGACAAGGGUUUAUUUUAUGGGAUGGUAGGAACGAAGGAGAGUUGAUGUAAGUCGAUAUGGCUGUGAAUAUACAGCAAGUCCUGAUGCCUCAAUGGCUUAUGCAUUGCAGUUUUUUAUUUGUCAUUGUUGCUUCUUUUAUGGUCUGUUUACUUUUCAUGUUUAUGCAUCUUUAUGUCUAACUAUAAAAGCAUCGAGUUUUUGAUGGAAUCUGCAAUUCUGUAUUUGCCUUCCUGCAUUCUCAGCUUAAGACUAGUUACUCAUAAUUACUGUUCUUUAUUUCUUAAUAUCCAACAGAUGAUGUGGGCCCUUGAAUACGACCCUGACUUGUUCAAUAUGUAUGAAGAAUCUGAAUCAGCUAGUAACAAAGCUGAGGGAUCUAAAGGAAGAGCCAAGUCAUUGCGCCAUUAUGGGAAAUUUGAGAGGGAAAACAUGAAAAAUGGGGCAGGAAAUUCAGAAGCCCCACUUCCCAUCUCUGUUUUCCUUGUUGCCAGUGUCUUGAAAAAUAAGAGCGCAAAACUGUUGACAGAAGCUCGGGGCUUGGAUGAUGUUGUUAAGGUCAGCUUAAUGAGUUUAUUUAUUUGGAUAUGCUUUUGAAGUCUCCAGAUUGCUGUCUAGAAUGGUUUAGGAAGUGGAGAUUGGAGAGCACACAGAAGGAUUAAGGAAAUAUUAGUGGAGAGUGGCAAAGAUCACAGACAAACCAUGCUUUUGUGGGGAUGCAGGGAGGAGGGAUGAUAGGGAUCAUAGUGAAUACUCCUCCCCCACCCCCCCACCAAUACAAAGAAAAGGACAUGAUAAGAAUAGUAUCAUCUUUUGUAUGUGUAUGGGUCUUAAGAUUCAGUCCUAGGAGGCUUAACCCCUUUCUAGUCGCUGCUGUUGUGCAUUCUUCUUGUGAAUUAGUUUAUAAUUUCGAAAUCCCUGAAGUGUUAAUAGGUAUCUGAAAGUCCAGAUCAGAUGUUUGUGUGGCAAUCUAUGGACAAGGUAUUAUGCCCAUGCAAGUCAUACUUCAACUCCUACUUGGCCAACAGCCCAACACGAAUAAUGCUUGUAGAAUUUUUAACACGAAACUUGGACUUGCAUGUGUUAUAUGUUUGUAGUGGGACCAGGUGACUGAGAACAUAAAAUCAUAAGCAUUUGGUAAAUCAUAGUUACAUUUAAGAUAGCAUUUAGUGCAUCCUCAUCUUACUCCUUUGUUGUGAAUAUCUGUUGUUAUUAUACUAUGCUUUGCAGAUACUGAAUGACAUGACUGGAAAUUUAGAUGCCAAAAAAGCAUGCAGCGGGGCAAUGAAACUUCACAAGAAAUACUUAAAGAAGGUUCUUCUCUUACCUUGGGUGGUGCUAUAAAUGUUGAAAAUCUGUUGUGAACUGCAAAAGAAUAAGAAACUCGGAGAAAGUAAAAAAAAAAAUUCAUUGUCUUAUGGCAUAUUUCAUUGAGUUUAUAUAUUAUAAACUCAGGGGAAAGAAUAUAUUGGCAACAAAAAUUGAAAAUACUCCUACACCAAAAGAGUAGAUGACUUCUGGAGGUGACGAGUGGUGUUCAAGUAGUCAUCUCAGCUCAAUAUCUAGAAAAUAUGAGAUAGUAGUCUCCACCCUAUUCAUUUUAGUGGUUAUAAUGAAAAUGUUGAUAGAUGUUGAAAUUAUCUAGCCGGGUGUAUGAUCCAUUUAUCUUUUCUUGGGUUUUUUGCCUGAACUUUAGAUAUUUCUUUUUUAUCAUUCUUCUAGUCAUUCCAUAAACUCAUAGAUUUUUCAUUGCUACUGCAGGCCAAGAAGACUUAGCAUAUGAUGAAAGACAUGA